rnacentral:rRNA from 1 species
AUUGAACGCUGGCGGCAGGCCUAACACAUGCAAGUCGAGCGGAUGAAGAGAGCUUGCUCUCUGAUUUAGCGGCGGACGGGUGAGUAAUGCCUAGGAAUCUGCCUGGUAGUGGGGGAUAACGUUCCGAAAGGAACGCUAAUACCGCAUACGUCCUACGGGAGAAAGCAGGGGACCUUCGGGCCUUGCGCUAUCAGAUGAGCCUAGGUCGGAUUAGCUAGUUGGUGAGGUAAUGGCUCACCAAGGCUACGAUCCGUAACUGGUCUGAGAGAAUGAUCAGUCACACUGGAACGGAGACACGGUCCAGACUCCUACGGGAGGCAGCAGUGGGGAAUAUUGGACAAUGGGCGAAAGCCUGAUCCAGCCAUGCCGCGUGUGUGAAGAAGGUCUUCGGAUUGUAAAGCACUUUAAGUUGGGAGGAAGGGCAGUAAGUUAAUACCUUGCUGUUUUGACGUUACCGACAGAAUAAGCACCGGCUAACUUCGUGCCAGCAGCCGCAGUAACAC